rnacentral:tRNA from 1 species
UGGCUUAGAGGUUAAUGCAUUUACCUAAUAUGCAAGUAGCCUGGGUUCAAAUCCCAG